rnacentral:rRNA from 1 species
GACGAACGCUGGCGGCGUGCCUAAUACAUGCAAGUCGAACGCAGUGGGGACGGGUGAGUAACACGUGGCUAACCUCCCAUCAGAGGGGAUAACACUUGGAAACAGGUGCUAAACCGAUACUGAUGGAUGGACCCGCGGUGCCUUAGCUAGUUGGUGAGGUACCUGCUCACCAAGGCCACGAUGCAUAGGCGACGUGAGAGGGGGAGCGGGCACACUGGGACUGAGACACGGCCCAGACUCCGACGGGAGGCAGCAGUAGGGAGUCUUCGGCAAUGGACGAAAGUCGGACCGAGCAAAGCCGGGUGCGUGAAGAAGGUUUUCGGAUCGUAAAACUCUGGUGUUAGAGAAGCGGUAUAUAACCAGAAAGCCACGGCUAACUACGUGCCAGCAGCCGCGGUAAUUC